rnacentral:rRNA from 1 species
AUACGGAAGGUCCGGGCGUUAUCCGGAUUUAUUGGGUUUAAAGGGAGCGCAGGCGGAGAUGCAAGCGUGACGUCAAAUUUCGGGGCUCAACCCCGUCUCGCGUCGCGAACUGCGUCCCUUGGUUGCGGGAAGGGGAGGCGGAACUCGUGGUGUAGCGGUGAAAUGCAUAGAUAUCACGAAGAACUCCGAUCGCGAAGGCAGCCUUCCGGCCCGUCAACGACGCUCAUGCUCGAAGGUGCGGGUAUCAAACAGGAUUAGAUACCCUGGUAGUCCGCACAGUAAACGAUGGACACCCGCGGUUUGGCCUGUAUGGCUGAGCCGCCAAGCGAAAGCGUUAAGUGUUCCACCUGGGGAGUACGCCGGCAACGGUGAAACUCAAAUGAAUUGACGGGG